rnacentral:tRNA from 1 species
GAAGUAAUAUAAUGUAAGCUUCUAACUUACAAAAAAGCGAUAAAACUCGUUUAUACUUCU